CAGCAGCCACGGUAAUACAGAGGGUGCGAGCGUUAAUCGGAUUUACUGGGCGUAAAGCGUGCGUAGGCGGCUAAUUGAGUCGGAUGUGAAAUCCCCGAGCUUAACUUGGGAAUUGCAUUCGAUACUGGUUAGCUAGAGUGUGGGAGAGGAUGGUAGAAUUCCAGGUGUAGCGGUGAAAUGCGUAGAGAUCUGGAGGAAUACCGAUGGCGAAGGCAGCCAUCUGGCCUAACACUGACGCUGAGGUACGAAAGCAUGGGGAGCAAACAGGAUUAGAGACCCCGGUAGUCCCUGUCUCUUAUAC
rnacentral:rRNA from 1 species